rnacentral:rRNA from 1 species
UGGUGGAGUGAUUUGUCUGGUUAAUUCCGUUAACGAACGAGACCUCAGCCUGCUAAUUAAUUUCAACAAGGUUGAUUGUUAAAGUAAUCUUAGAGGGACUCUCGGUUAUUAAUCGAUGGAAGUCUGAGGUAAUAACA